rnacentral:rRNA from 1 species
GACGAACGCUGGCGGCGUGCUUAACACAUGCCAGUCGAGCGGAAAGGCCCUGCUUUUGUGGGGUGCUCGAGUGGCGAACGGGUGAGUAACACGUGAGUAACCUGCCCUUGACUUUGGGAUAACUUCAGGAAACUGGGGCUAAUACCGGAUAGGAGCUCCUGCUGCAUGGUGGGGGUUGGAAAGUUUCGGCGGUUGGGGAUGGACUCGCGGCUUAUCAGCUUGUUGGUGGGGUAGUGGCUUACCAAGGCUUUGACGGGUAGCCGGCCUGAGAGGGUGACCGGCCACAUUGGGACUGAGAUGCGGCCCAGACUCCUACGGGAGGCAGCAGUGGGGAAUAUUGCACAAUGGGCGGAAGCCUGAUGCAGCAACGCCGCGUGCGGGAUGACGGCCUUCGGGUUGUAAACCGCUUUCGCCUGUGACGAAGCGUGAGUGACGGUAAUGGGUAAAGAAGCACCGGCUAACUACGUG